rnacentral:tRNA from 1 species
GGGGCCAUAGCUCAGUUGGGAGAGCGUCUCACUGGCAGUGAGAAAGUCGCUGGUUCGAGUCCAGUUGGCUCCA